rnacentral:snRNA from 1 species
CAGUGUUAACAGCUUUCUUAGAAUUUGUCUAGCAGGUUUUCCAGUUCUUACCAGAAAAUCCCC